rnacentral:tRNA from 1 species
CGGGGCGUAGCGCAGUUUGGUUAGCGCGCCUGGCUUGGAACCAGGAGGUCGGCGGUUCGAAUCCGUCCGCCCCGA